CACGUAGGGCGCAAGCGUUGUCCGGAAUUAUUGGGCGUAAAGAGCUCGUAGGCGGUCCGUCACGUCCGCUGUGAAAACCCAGGGCUCAACCCUGGGCUUGCAGUGGAUACGGGCAGACUAGAGGUAGGUAGGGGAGAAUGGAAUUCCCGGUGUAGCGGUGAAAUGCGCAGAUAUCGGGAGGAACACCAAUGGCGAAGGCAGCUCGCUGGGACGGUACUGACGCUGAGGCGCGAAAGCGUGGGGAGCAAACAGG
rnacentral:rRNA from 1 species